CACGUUCCCAAAGGCAGCACUUGUGUACUGACCUUGCACGAGUGCACCGAGCAUCGCUGUGCAGAUGCUGUGACCUACGGGAAGGUCCACGUUGCACUUCCCACCAGGAGCCCCGCACUGAGUGCACGACGGGAGGACAUGAGCUUCUCACAGCUGUGAAACGAGAAGCUGGGGGGGGGGAACAUAACAAACUGCUUUUCCUUGGGAUGAGAAUGGGAGACCUAAUCCAGAAUGAAAUGUGCAAUCGUUUUUCCUGAGUGUAAAAGACUUGUUAUGAUUUUUUAUGAUGACUUCAGAAAUUCAGGUGUGCUACACCCGAUAGUAAUUAAAAAUCCAUGACAUGCCAAGGAAGAAAACAAACAUCUUUCCAUCAAACACACCUCUAAAUAACUCCUCCCAAUACCCUCACCCUGUUGGGAAGGAGCCUGUACCUUUUCUGGUUUCUUCCCAGAUAAGCUGAGCAACUGCAGGUGUAGCCACUGGUGUGCGGGCAGUGGGAAGCACGCUCUGGGCUGAUGGCAAAGGCUGCCUCUGCAAUGUGGGUGACUUCACUUGAGAAUGGAUCGCAUCCUCCUGCUUAACUGGGUCCCCUCUGGCAUCAUGGCACCAACGUCCAGUGUCCUGGGACAGCAGUUAUGUGAUAUGAACAGCCACACUGAGGAGCUCUAUGUGGUGAAAAUGAAGCAUUCACCGAUCACUGACUUCACCGUGGUGGAAUUGCUCUUGUGCUUGAAAUGGAGCUUUCCUUUGCGACCUUGUUG
rnacentral:lncRNA from 1 species